CGAAUGCUGACAUAAGUAACGAUAAAGCGGGUGAAAAGCCCGCUCGCCGGAAGACCAAGGGUUCCUGUCCAACGUUAAUCGGGGCAGGGUGAGUCGACCCCUAAGGCGAGGCCGAAAGGCGUAGUCGAUGGGAAACAGGUUAAUAUUCCUGUACUUGGUGUUACUGCGAAGGGGGGACGGAGAAGGCUAUGUUGGCCGGGCGACGGUUGUCCCGGUUUAAGCGUGUAGGCUGGUUUUCCAGGCAAAUCCGGAAAAUCAAGGCUGAGGCGUGAUGACGAGGCACUACGGUGCUGAAGCAACAAAUGCCCUGCUUCCAGGAAAAGCCUCUAAGCAUCAGGUAACAUCAAAUCGUACCCCAAACCGACACAGGUGGUCAGGUAGAGAAUACCAAGGCGCUUGAGAGAACUCGGGUGAAGGAACUAGGCAAAAUGGUGCCGUAACUUCGGGAGAAGGCACGCUGAUAUGUAGGUGAAGUCCCUCGCGGAUGGAGCUGAAAUCAGUCGAAGAUACCAGCUGGCUGCAACUGUUUAUUAAAAACACAGCACUGUGCAAACACGAAAGUGGACGUAUACGGUGUGACGCCUGCCCGGUGCCGGAAGGUUAAUUGAUGGGGUCAGCGCAAGCGAAGCUCUUGAUCGAAGCCCCGGUAAACGGCGGCCGUAACUAUAACGGUCCUAAGGUAGCGAAAUUCCUUGUCGGGUAAGUUCCGACCUGCACGAAUGGCGUAAUGAUGGCCAGGCUGUCUCCACCCGAGACUCAGUGAAAUUGAACUCGCUGUGAAGAUGCAGUGUACCCGCGGCAAGACGGAAAGACCCCGUGAACCUUUACUAUAGCUUGACACUGAACAUUGAGCCUUGAUGUGUAGGAUAGGUGGGAGGCUUUGAAGUGUGGACGCCAGUCUGCAUGGAGCCGGCCUUGAAAUACCACCCUUUAAUGUUUGAUGUUCUAACGUUGACCCGUGAUCCGGGUUGCGGACAGUGUCUGGUGGGUAGUUUGACUGGGGCGGUCUCCUCCUAAAGAGUAACGGAGGAGCACGAAGGUUGGCUAAUCCUGGUCGGACAUCAGGAGGUUAGUGCAAUGGCAUAAGCCAGCUUGACUGCGAGCGUGACGGCGCGAGCAGGUGCGAAAGCAGGUCAUAGUGAUCCGGUGGUUCUGAAUGGAAGGGCCAUCGCUCAACGGAUAAAAGGUACUCCGGGGAUAACAGGCUGAUACCGCCCAAGAGUUCAUAUCGACGGCGGUGUUUGGCACCUCGAUGUCGGCUCAUCACAUCCUGGGGCUGAAGUAGGUCCCAAGGGUAUGGCUGUUCGCCAUUUAAAGUGGUACGCGAGCUGGGUUUAGAACGUCGUGAGACAGUUCGGUCCCUAUCUGCCGUGGGCGCUGGAGAACUGAGGGGGGCUGCUCCUAGUACGAGAGGACCGGAGUGGACGCAUCACUGGUGUUCGGGUUGUCAUGCCAAUGGCACUGCCCGGUAGCUAAAUGCGGAAGAGAUAAGUGCUGAAAGCAUCUAAGCACGAAACUUGCCCCGAG
rnacentral:rRNA from 1 species